UGGGGAAUCUUCCGCAAUGGACGAAAGUCUGACGGAGCAACGCCGCGUGAGUGAUGACGGUCUUCGGAUUGUAAAGCUCUGUUAAUCGGGACGAAUGGUUUGUGUGCAAAUAGUGCAUAGACAUGACGGUACCGGAAUAGAAAGCCACGGCUAACUACGUGCCAGCAGCCGCGGUAAUACGUAGGUGGCAAGCGUUGUCCGGAAUUAUUGGGCGUAAAGCGCGCGCAGGCGGACUAGCCAGUCAGUCUUAAAAGUUCGGGGCUUAACCCCGUGAUGGGAUUGAAACUACUAGUCUAGAGUAUCGGAGAGGAAAGUGGAAUUCCUAGUGUAGCGGUGAAAUGCGUAGAUAUUAAAAAGAAUACCGGUGGCGAAGGCGACUUACUGGGCUCAUUCUGACGCUGAGGAACGAAAGCGUGGGUAGCAAACAGG
rnacentral:rRNA from 1 species